rnacentral:misc_RNA from 1 species
UGGCUCUCGCAUCGAUGAAGAACGCAGCGAAAUGCGAUAAGUAAUGUGAAUUGCAGAAUUCAGUGAAUCAUCGAAUCUUUGAACGCACCUUGCGCUCCUUGGUAUUCCGAGGAGCAUGCCUGUUUGAGUGUCGUUAAAUUCUCAACCUAUCUGGCUUUUAUAAGUCAGCUUAGGCUUGGAUGUUGGAGGUUGCUGGCUUCUCAGAAUUCAGCUCCUCUUAAAUUUAUUAGCAAAGUCUUUGCUGACCCUCUUUGGUAUGAUAAUUAUCUAUACCAUCGAGAUUUAGCUUUCCAUCUCGGAAGGAGUUUGCUUCUAACCGUCUACACAGACAACUUGACAAUUUGACCUCAAAUCAGGUAGGACUACCCGCUGA